AUUGAACGCUGGCGGCAGGCCUAACACAUGCAAGUCGAGCGGAUGAAGGGAGCUUGCUCCUGGAUUCAGCGGCGGACGGGUGAGUAAUGCCUAGGAAUCUGCCUGGUAGUGGGGGAUAACGUCCGGAAACGGGCGCUAAUACCGCAUACGUCCUGAGGUAGAAAGUGGGGGAUCUUCGGACCUCACGCUAUCAGAUGAUCCUAGGUCGGAUUAGCUAGUUGGUGGGGUAAAGGCCUACCAAGGCGACGAUCCGUAACUGGUCUGAGAGGAUGAUCAGUCACACUGGAACUGAGACACGGUCCAGACUCCUACGGGAGGCAGCAGUGGGGAAUAUUGGACAAUGGGCGAAAGCCUGAUCCAGCCAUGCCGCGUGUGUGAAGAAGGUCUUCGGAUUGUAAAGCACUUUAAGUUGGGAGGAAGGGCAGUAAGUUAAUACCUUGCUGUUUUGACGUUACCAACAGAAUAAGCACCGGCUAACUUCGUG
rnacentral:rRNA from 1 species